CCUACGGGGUGCUGCAGUGAGGAAUCUUGGUCAAUGGCCGCAGGGCUGAACCAGCCAAGUCGCGUGAGGGAUGACGGUCCUAUGGAUUGUAAACCUCUUUUGUCAGGGAGCAAAGGGCGCCACGUGUGGCGUUUUGCGAGUACCUGAAGAAAAAGCAUCGGCGAACUCCGUGCCAGCAGCCGCGGUAAUACGGAGGAUGCGUGCGUUAUCCGGAUUUAUUGGGUGAAAAGGGUGCGCAGGCGGAAUGGCAAGUCAGGGGUAAAAUUUCGGGGCUCAACCCCGUCGUGCCGUUGAAACUGGCGUUCUUGAGUGAGCGAGAGGUAUGCGGAAUGCGUGGUGUAGCGGUGAAAUGCAUAGAUAUCACGCAGAACUCCGAUUGCGAAGGCAGGAUACCGGCGCUCAACUGACGCUCAUGCACGAAAGCGUGGGUAUCGAACAGGAUUAGAUACCCUGGUAGUC
rnacentral:rRNA from 1 species